rnacentral:tRNA from 1 species
GAACUGCUCGACUUCUGGUGAGGUCACGAGGCUUUCAACCUCGACAGACGGGUUCGAUUCCCGUGCAGUCACCA